GUAGGUGGCAAGCGUUGUCCGGUAUUAUUGGGCGUAAAGCGCGCGCAGGUGGUUCUUUAAGUCUGAUGUGAAAGCCCCCGGCUCAACCGGGGAGGGUCAUUGGAAACUGGGGAACUUGAGUGCAGGAGAGGAAAGUGGAAUUCCACGUGUAGCGGUGAAAUGCGUAGAUAUGUGGAGGAACACCAGUGGCGAAGGCGACUUUCUGGCCUGUAACUGACACUGAGGCGCGAAAGCGUGGGGAGCAAACAGGGAUUAGAUACCCUGGUAGUCCACGCCGUAAACGAUGAGUGCUAAGUGUUGGGGGGGUUUCCCGCCCCUCAGUGCUGCAGCUAACGCAUUAAGCACUCCGCCUGGGGAGUACGGUCGCAAGACUG
rnacentral:rRNA from 1 species